GACGAACGCUGGCGGCGUGCUUAACACAUGCAAGUCGAGCGAUGAAGUUCCUUCGGGAAUGGAUUAGCGGCGGACGGGUGAGUAACACGUGGGUAACCUGCCUCAUAGAGGGGAAUAGCCUUCCGAAAGGAAGAUUAAUACCGCAUAAGAUUGUAGUGCCGCAUGGUAUAGCAAUUAAAGGAGUAAUCCGCUAUGAGAUGGACCCGCGUCGCAUUAGCUAGUUGGUGAGGUAACGGCUCACCAAGGCGACGAUGCGUAGCCGACCUGAGAGGGUGAUCGGCCACAUUGGGACUGAGACACGGCCCAGACUCCUACGGGAGGCAGCAGUGGGGAAUAUUGCACAAUGGGGGAAACCCUGAUGCAGCAACGCCGCGUGAGUGAUGAAGGUCUUCGGAUUGUAAAACUCUGUCUUCAGGGACGAUAAUGACGGUACCUGAGGAGGAAGCCACGGCUAACUACGUGCCAGCCGCCGCGGUAAGAC
rnacentral:rRNA from 1 species